CCGAUCCGCCGCCGGCCUUCUCCCAUAGCCCCACCCAAUCCACUGUCGUGCGCGGCACCGAGGCUGGCAGGUACCCCGUGCAUCUGCAAGCUGCUGCAGUUGGCUGCGCCACCUCAUCUACUCGCUGGCUUCCGCACGUGAGCACAACCGGAGAGCCCGUGUAACUUCUACAUCUGCCCACGCAUCCUCAUGCUCUGCCUCCGCUCUCUCUGAUUAGUUCACCUUCUCAUGAGUGCCACCUCGACCUUCCCUGUACCAGCUAAUUUUUAACUUCAUUGUACGCAUGUGUUCUCAUUUUGAUUUGUAUCCACUUGUAGGAACUAAAAAUGUACGCAUGUGUUCUCCUUUUGAUCUGUAUCUACUACUAUCUAAAUCUUAUUAUCUAGGUGCCAAAAAAAUGUGCGCCGAGACGCCGCCCCCGCGGCCGAACUCCUGCCUCCGCUUGGCUCCGUCCGCAGCAGCACACCACCUCCCUCGCCAUCCACCUGCCUGUGUUCAUAUUCUGCAGGUGACCUUCUCUCCUCACGCGUACUAACCUUCCUCCUCCUCCUCCUGCUUCCUCCUCCCCUUUAGGAUGAUUGAACUAUGUCGCAUGGAGUAGUAGAACCGUCGGCGUGUCUGGCUCCCAUUCCUCAUUUGUGCGCCUUGACUUCUGGCGGUGCCACGAUGAGAAACCAACUCGUCCAAUUUUUCAGCGGGGGAUCACACAAUGGGUUUUGAGGGGUACUGGAGUUCAGAGUGAACGUGGAUUAAGGUUCGGAGAUGUGUUUUUUAGUACAUUCAGAGAGGGUUUCCCCCUGUUUUUCAUUUCUUAGCCUCUUCAUGAUUUAUGAGAUAAUUUCUGAGACUAACAUUCCAUUGUAGCUUAUAGUCUCAUGUGUGUAUGAUUUUUUUUGAUCAAGUAUACUCUGCAUCCUUGAAAAUACUCGAACCUGAUCAUAACUUGGUUAAGUCUUUGAUAUAGCAGAAAAUUUUAUAGCCAAACAUAUUGCUAUCUGAAAAUUAUUAUCUUUGUGUGAAUAAGUUUUAACCCUAUGCGGAAAAAAAAUCUGCACAAACCUCCACAAAGGCAAUUCUUGAUCCCUAGACCAGUUCGAUCAGUUAGAUGCGUGCAGAAAUGUAACAUGUAGUUCUUUGGGUUCCCUGCUUUCAUUUUGGUAAAACAAUUGAUGAGAAAAUGUACCUAUACAGAAAUGAUGGUUCAGUUCAAGAAAAAUGGAUGUUUACUAAUUUUGCGGUCUAAAGUUUCUUUGUGUUUUUUACAGCAGUUUGGAGUGUAUUUAUAUAGAAGAAGAAAAAACAACGGCACCUGCACCGGAGCAGCAGGACAACGCACCCUCCCAGCGAUGGCGCAGCAGCGCAUUCGCCGUCUGUGCACAUGUGUGUGAAGUGCACUUGAGGGAGCACUCCCCUGUUGCUAUUCUGCACCUACGCCUCCCCAUGGAUCCCAUUCUCUUCUCUUCUUUUUGCUAUGAGUUUGUAAAUUGAAGAUCAGUCAUAACAGGGGAAGAAAAAGCUUUAGAGAGUUUUUCGUAAAAAAAUCAAAGAUGUUAUUCAGAUUGUGAUGGACUUUUCGUACAUGUUUAUGCUAGUUCAUGCUCGUUUGUACUCUUUUUUACUCUGUUUCAGAUUUUGGUUUGAAGAAGUAUGUGCAUGUUGACAGAGACAAUCUAUACAGAGAAGUUCAAAUAUUAUUGCCCCACAGGUUCAUGUCUUCACAAGAUGUACCACUAUUUUCUUCUCUCCCACAAAAGUGUGUGUUUUAGUUCUUUUUCUAUCUCUUUUUGCCCACGGGUUUGUAAUAAUGUUGCGGAUGCUCUAGCGACGCACGGGUCAAAGAUGGUGCAUAUGUC
rnacentral:lncRNA from 1 species